AAGCAGAGGGGGCUUAGUGGUGGGGUGACUGCGUACCUUUUGUAUAAUGGGUCAGCGACUUAUAUUCUGUAGCAAGGUUAACCGUAUAGGGGAGCCGGAGGGAAACCGAGUCUUAAUUGGGCGUUAAGUUGCAGGGUAUAGACCCGAAACCCGGUGAUCUAGCCAUGGGCAGGUUGAAGGUUGGGUAACACUAACUGGAGGACCGAACCGACUAAUGUUGAAAAAUUAGCGGAUGACCUGUGGCUGGGGGUGAAAGGCCAAUCAAACCGGGAGAUAGCUGGUUCUCCCCGAAAGCUAUUUAGGUAGCGCCUCGUGAAUUCAUCUCCGGGGGUAGAGCACUGUUUCGGCUAGGGGGCCAUCCCGGCUUACCAACCCGAUGCAAACUGCGAAUACCGGAGAAUGUUAUCACGGGAGACACACGGCGGGUGCUAACGUCCGUCGUGAAGAGGGAAACAACCCAGACCGCCAGCUAAGGUCCCAAAGUCAUGGUUAAGUGGGAAACGAUGUGGGAAGGCCCAGACAGCCAGGAUGUUGGCUUAGAAGCAGCCAUCAUUUAAAGAAAGCGUAAUAGCUCACUGGUCGAGUCGGCCUGCGCGGAAGAUGUAACGGGGCUAAACCAUGCACCGAAGCUGCGGCAGCGAACGUAUCACUUAAAGCGAUUCAGCGGGUUACGAUUGACGGAGCGAAGCGACGUCAAAGCGUAUACAAAGUCGAGUCGGUUUAAGGAUACGUUCGUUGGGUAGGGGAGCGUUCUGUAAGCCUGUGAAGGUGGCCUGUGAGGGUUGCUGGAGGUAUCAGAAGUGCGAAUGCUGACAUA
rnacentral:rRNA from 1 species